rnacentral:rRNA from 1 species
AGAGUUUGAUCAUGGCUCAGGAUGAACGCUAGCUACAGGCUUAACACAUGCAAGUCGAGGGGAAACGAUAUUGGAAGCUUGCUUCCGAUAGGCGUCGACCGGCGUACGGGUGAGUAACGCGUAUCCAACCUGCCCACCACUUGGGGAUAACCUUGCGAAAGUAAGACUAAUACCCAAUGACGUCGUCUAGAAGACAUCUGAAAGAGAUUAAAGAUUUAUCGGUGAUGGAUGGGGGAUGCGUCUGAUUAGCUUGUUGGCGGGGUAACGGCCCACCAAGGCGACGAUCAGUAGGGGUUCUGAGAGGAAGGUCCCCCACAUUGGAACUGAGACACGGUCCAAACUCCUACGAGAGGCAGCA